rnacentral:rRNA from 1 species
UACAGAGGUCUCGAGCGUUGUUCGGAUUCAUUGGGCGUAAAGGGCGCGUAGGCGGCGGGGUAAGUCUGGUGUGAAAUCUCGGAGCUCAACUCCGAAAUUGCACUGGAUACUGCUCUGCUAGAGGGCUGGAGAGGAGAUCGGAAUUCACGGUGUAGCAGUGAAAUGCGUAGAUAUCGUGAGGAAGACCAGUGGCUAAGGCGGAUCUCUGGACAGCUCCUGACGCUGAGGCGCGAAGGCUAGGGGAGCAAACGGG